UGUCAUUAAGUGAAAUAAAGAUUCUAACGAGAGAGCAUUUCCUCAGGGAUUCUUUAUAAAUAAUUUAGCUUAGUCUUAAAAGAGAUACAAUUUACUUUUUAAUUUUUAUUCAAUAUUUGGAAUUAAAGUUUUACAUUUACAUGCAUUUUAACUAUUUAUAUAGUAAUUAGUAUUCCAAUUAUUUGUUGGAGUCAAUUAAAAAACAUGUUUUUUUUCUGAACAUUUGCCCACUUUCCUUAGUCAACAUUUUCCAUUUCUCUCGACUAUAACUAUCUAACCUACAGAGAGACUAAGCAGCAUAAAAUCAACAUUCUCUCUUGGGCUAAUAUCCACCUGUGUACUCCUUUUAUUUUAGCAGUUAUUAAAGACAGUAACUCAAACAGGGUAAAAAACAAGAAAUCAGAUUUCUUUCCUUUACCUGAGAAUCUCCAGUAAGACGUAAGAGCAACUCUAGAUUUAGUAGAAAGAAAAGAAUUAUGGAUUUUUUUGGCAAAAUUUUUCUUUUAUAUAUAUUUAUAUUUUCAUAUAUAUAUAUAUGAAAUAUAUAUAUAUAUAUUACCUAUUUCUUUGUAAGUCAGAAGCCAAGUGUUGAGCACCAGUUUUCAGCAAGGGUUAGACAUUCCAUAUAUUAUCUUAUUUCAUAAUCUUUUCCACCCUGGACAUGCACAUACACAUGUAGAGGCAAGUGGGCAGGCACACACACACACACACACACACACACAUACUUAUGAAAGCAAGAAAGAAAGCCAUAGCAUGAACCUGUAUUUGCACUACCACAAGACUCUUUAGACAAGUGGAGUUCCACUUUCAUCUUGAUAUAGUCAGCUAGAACAAAUAUAAAAGUUGCCACAGUCCCUUUUCUUUAAAAAAUU
rnacentral:lncRNA from 1 species